rnacentral:lncRNA from 1 species
AGCGGUGAGCCUCUUGGUUGCACCCCGCGCGGCAUCAUUGUAUCAAGCAGGUUUUUUUGUUUUUUUAUUUUUUUUGCUUUUGCAAACUCGGUUAAUUCCUAUGCCACAAUGCCAUGAAUUUGUUUCAGAAACCCUCGGUCGUCAACUCCUAUUUGGAAUGUGAUCGGCACUGCCACAGAGAAUUCUCAAUAAGAAGAAUGUCGCAUAUGCUC